CUCAAACUCGUCCAUAUCUGAGUUUUUCACUGAAGAACAACAGUUUUAGGAGUACUUGACUGCAUUAUGGAGUUAAAGGGUGCCACAACUGCAGGACAAGGGGCUCCUCCAUUCCAGGCAGCUCACACACCUGAUCUCACUACCUCUGUUUGAAGUGAACAAGCAUCAUCCCAAAGACAGGACGCGUCUUGUCCGUGACCUUGGGCACCGCGGCAUCCCAAUCCACACCACUCCACUCCCAUCAGAGAGCUUCUUACCUCAACUUGCUGUCCUCUUGUCUCUCUAAGACCCCUGUAAUUCCGCUCAUCCCUUUCUUCACAUCUGUCCCCCAGAAAGGCCGAGGCGUGCCCAGGCACACUCACUUCCUGGGCGCCUUUGCACUGAGGAGGUACCUGGGAGACAAUGGAAAGCAACCUUCAGGGGACGGUGGGCACACUCCUUGGCAACGCACAGAGCAGAUGGAAGGGCACACCGAUGAGGAGACUCACCUGCGCUUCUGUGUUACCAGUUCACACACCUAGUGAAAAUGGAGGCAAGAUUCAAGCACAGAGCUGCAAACUCUGGGCUCCCCAUCGUGGACCACCCUCCUGAAACAGUGACUGAGAGUGGACCCCACCCCAGAUUAGCACCAGCUGACCUCCUUCUUCCCUGUCUGAGAAGGCAGGCUGACCCCAUCCCACCAGCAGCCUCUCCUGCUCAGGACCACCCCACACGGUCCUGCGGUGCCUCCCCGUGCUCUCCUGCCACCAGCCCCCACCACAUCUGCGUGUGUGCA